AGGUGAGCUGGCCUGCAGGCAGUCACGCUCCCACAGCAUACAUGCACCUACUGACAUCCCUUCAAUUGAAGAGGGGAUACCAGCUAUGUACCACCCGGGUUACACUUGUCUGCUUCUCUUGAUGGCUGCCUUCUGCCUCCAGAAUACCUAUGAGGCUACAACUACAUCUAUAAACUUGCUCAGAACUGGAAAGGCAGCCAUGAGGAUGUGGAGCCCCAGCCUCCUUGAGAGCAGUCAUGGAAAAUCCCUGCUGAAGGCUAUAAAAGGUAGAGAAGGACCAGGGGAAUGCCACGCAUCUCUAGACCACCGAAGCUACCUCUGCCAGAGCCAGUGGUCAGACAACCAACCUGGAAGUGAAGGUCACCACCUUGACCCUGGCAGCUCUGCUUCUUGUAGCUGUGUGGACUGAAGCCCACAGCAAUGAUAUGAUCAACAACAAGGUCACCUGCUGCUAUUCCAACAAUUUUGUUAAAAAAAAGAAUCCCUCACAAACUGAUCAAAUGUUACAGAGAUACAGCUAAAACCUGCCCCCAUGAUGGUGUGCUGUAAGUAUGGAUUUGAGAUUUCUCUUUCCUUCUGCAUCUGUUACUCUGUCUGUGAGUAAAAGAAAUGCCACAACCACAUUUCUUUCCCUUUAUCCAAAAACCUAAUAGGUUUGAGACACAGUCUGUGGUCUCUACUACCCUUAUGCUUUUCAGGAAAGAGGUACUUGUCAGAAGCUAUGUUGUCAUGUUGAAUUUUAAGUGCCAAUGACACCAUAAUAUGUUGAUCAAGUGUUAUAAAUACUCAUAGGUCAUGUCCUGGCCUGCCUAUUUUUACCAAAUGUCUGAACUCAUAAUUUUUUAAAUUACUCCAAAAAAAUGGAUGUGAUAGUCAUUACCCUGAAUUACCAAACUAGAAAUGGAAACUGAAAAUGAGCAAUAAAUUGAAUUCCCUGUUAUAUGGUGCAAGCUCAGUAAGGUGGCACUGCUGGUGAAUCUCCAUGUCUGGCUGCUCAGAUUCAGGGGCAGAAGCAGUCAGAGAUGUACCAAGGGUACUGUAUGUGCUCACUCAGUGCUGGGCAAGCCAGGGGUCCUGCAAAGCAAUGCUGUGAGGGACACAGACGGCCCUAGGAAAAGAGGCUGCAGGCCAGCACCAAAGUGUGUUGAUUAAUUAGGCAGCAAGAGCCCAGCAGCAGCUUCUAGAGUGCUGUGGCUGAGUCCAGCCACCUCAGCCAAUUCCUUGCCUCCAAGAGGUAGUUUCAUGACAAGGCAAAGAGCAUUUCAGUGCAAAGGGCUUCAUUUCCCAGCACUGUCAGUCAGUAACUGCCCUGGUUCUACGGGCACAGGAACUGUGACAAGGGUGUAUGGGUGACAUAUUUCCUCACUGCCUCACGGUUCCUUUUCUCUCUGGUUACAGACUGGAGCUUAGAAAUAAACCCAUCUGUGCUGAUCCCCAAGAACAGUGGGUUCAGGAAUACCUGCCCACUUUACAAAGAUGCUGAACCUGACCAUGACUUAUUGCUGAACUUUUAUUUAUGUGAAAUCUCAAGUGUCAAUAUGUGGUUUUGAUAAGCUAUUUUUGCCACUGAGUUAAUUUAAAGAACUAACUGCAUCCCUUUUCUCUUCAUUCUAUGUGCUUUGUUCCCCAUGAAUGUGUUAUGGGUAGUGACUCACUGCCAAAGCUAAUGUGAUUCUUCUUGUUGACCAAAUAAAACACUGUA